CACAGCAGAAUUGAGCAGAAAAUACAGAGUUUGCACGUAGCCCUCCCUACCUACACAUACAUACUCCCCUCCCCUCAACAUCCCCCAUCAGUGUGGCAUAUUUGGCGCAAUCAGUGAACCAACGUGGGCACAUUAUUAUCAACCAAAGUCCAUAGUUUACAUUAGGGUUCACUCUUGAUGUUGAACAUCCUGUGGGUUUUGACAAAUGCAUGAUGACAAGUAGCCACCACUAUUGUCUCAGACAGAAUAUUUUCAUU